rnacentral:rRNA from 1 species
GAUGAACGCUGGCGGCGUGCCUAAUACAUGCCAGUCGAGCGAACGGACGAGAAGCUUGCUUCUCUGAUGUUAGCGGCGGACGGGUGAGUAACACGUGGAUAACCUACCUAUAAGACUGGGAUAACUUCGGGAAACCGGAGCUAAUACCGGAUAAUAUUUUGAACCGCAUGGUUCAAAAGUGAAAGACGGUCUUGCUGUCACUUAUAGAUGGAUCCGCGCUGCAUUAGCUAGUUGGUAAGGUAACGGCUUACCAAGGCAACGAUGCAUAGCCGACCUGAGAGGAUGAUCGGCCACACUGGAACUGAGACACGGUCCAGACUCCUACGGGAGGCAGCAGUAGGGAAUCUUCCGCAAUGGGCGAAAGCCUGAUGGAGCAACGCCGCGUGAGUGAUGAAGGUCUUCGGAUCGUAAAACUCUGUUAUUAGGGAAGAACAUAUGUGUAAGUAACUGUGCACAUCUUGACGGUACCUAAUCAGAAAGCCACGGCUAACUACGUG